rnacentral:rRNA from 1 species
CCUACGGGAGGCAGCAGUGGGGAAUAUUGCACAAUGGGCGCAAGCCUGAUGCAGCCAUGCCGCGUGUGUGAAGAAGGCCUUCGGGUUGUAAAGCACUUUCAGCGGGGAGGAAGGCGGUGAGGUUAAUAACCUCAUCGAUUGACGUUACCCGCAGAAGAAGCACCGGCUAACUCCGUGCCAGCAGCCGCGGUAGUACGGAGGGUGCAAGCGUUAAUCGGAAUUACUGGGCGUAAAGCGCACGCAGGCGGUCUGUCAAGUCGGAUGUGAAAUCCCCGGGCUCAACCUGGGAACUGCAUUCGAAACUGGCAGGCUAGAGUCUUGUAGAGGGGGGUAGAAUUCCAGGUGUAGCGGUGAAAUGCGUAGAGAUCUGGAGGAAUACCGGUGGCGAAGGCGGCCCCCUGGACAAAGACUGACGCUCAGGUGCGAAAGCGUGGGGAGCAAACAGGAUUAGAUACCCGUGUAGUC